CUAGCAAAAGACAGACACACCAAUGAACACAUCUUAUAUAUUGCAUUAAUCAGCUGUCUGGUCUUCCCGAAAGUCCUUCACUGUUCUGCUGGUGUAGCACACAGGGGUCCAAUGAGAGCUCCACUGGAAGAGGUGACCUUUUUGGCGGAAUAAGAUAGAGAGAGAAGAGGAGAGGGGAAUCAGGGAGAAUGGGGGACAAGGACAAAGAGCAGAGGAAUGCAUUUCCCAUAGCCUAGCUGACCUCUCAAGAGGACUGACUCUGAAUAAUUACAGUCCUGCUCACCUGCUUCCAGAAGGGGCAUGAGCAGACUAGGGAUGUCAGGAGAACCGAUACUUCGGUACCAAUUCGGUACCAACAUUCUUAAAACGUGACGGUACUUGUUUUUCUGCACUAACGUUGGAACCGAUUCUAAUAGAGGUACCAAGAUUACAAUUCUUCCGGACCUGAUCCGGUCAGCAAAUACGCGCAAGUGUUUUCGUCGGUCCACAAGUGGCAAAGAAGAAGAAGAACGCCCACAAGCACACGGGUCGCAAGGAAGCCUGGAGUCUACCCCUGGGAACACGCAGGGCACAUGCACACCCCCAUUCACACACUAUAGACAAUUUGGAAAUGUCAAACAGCUUACCCCCAUGUCUGGGGGAGGAAAGUGGACUACCCGGAGAAACCCCCCCAAAGCAUGGGGCCCAUCCAGAUAAUUUUCAGAGAAGUGAAGAAACAACAUUAAGAGGUGGUUGGGUUUUUGGGAGCAUCAAAGGAGAAAUAAGGAGGACUGCACUUAGCAUGGAUGGUCGCGGGGGAACCUGGGGCCUAUCCCAGGGAGCAUCAGGCACAAGGCGGGGUACACGCUGGACAGGGUGUCAGUCCAUCGCAGGGCACACAAUCACACACACACUAUGGACUAUUUAGACACGCCAAUCAGCCUACCAUCACUCACUUUACCCAGGUCAGGGUUAUGGUGAAUCCAAAGCCUAUUGUCGGAACACUGGGCAUGAGGUGGGAAGACUGGAUGGGAUGCUGGUCAUUCACACUGAGGGGUAAUUAAUCAUAAACAAUUCAACUAUUGGCAUUGAGAGGUGGGAGGAACCCAGAGGAACCCAGAGGAAACCAUGAGAACAUGAGGAGAACAUGUGAAACUGACAGUAACCUGAGCUCAGAACCAAACUGGGGACCCUGGAGCUGUGAGUCUGUGAAUGUUCCUAGUAUACUUAUUUGUAUAUAACCUGAUUUAAAUUCCCUUUUUAACAUGUUUAAUUUAAUUUAACAAUAUAAUUUAAAAUACUUUGAAAUCUGGAUCUUACACUCUCUUUUUUGAGCUGUAAGCUAUCUAUAGAUAUAAUUUAUGCACUUAUAUCACUUACAGAACCUACAGUAAAUGUCAUAUGAAUCAUAUUUCACCAUAUGAAUUCCACGUUCAAUGUGUAAACAUAAUACACUGCCCAUGAGAACAUACUGGUUUCUUGCACCUAUUUAUACAUUUCAUUACCAGAAGAGCUCACUGGGUUUAUCCCUAAUGGUUCUUCUCUUCUUUGCCCCUCUUAAGUGGAACAUCAAUAAAACUGGCCAGAGCUCUGGCUGCCUUCUGCCAUAUUUAGAAGUACAAUCCAUCCCACAAGUGUGUCCUCAGAGUUCCUCAAAGAUACUGAGAAGAGACACUGUGUAUCCAUGAGCUAUUUCACAGGCCAAAAACAACCUUCCCAUGGUAACAGCUGGUCUCUGCAGUGGCUGACCACAAUAACAGAGUGAACAGACACUGAGGGGAUUGGGGUGGUGUGUGUGUGUGUGUGUGUGUGUGUGUGUGUGUGUGUGUGUGUGUGUGUGUGUGUGUGUGUUUCUGAGUGUUGUGAAAGUCAAAAACCAUGGAUGGAUUACACAAAGAACCAGGCCUAGAGGUUUUUCCAUGCCCAGGACAUGGUGGGUGAUUAAGCUUAAGAGUGCAAGAUGAGCACAAGGACUCUGCUUUCACUGCAAUGCCAAGCAGGAGAGGGGAUUUCAUUCUAGACCCAAGCAGUUAAAAACAUUGGGACAGGAUGUCAUUAAGGAGUAAACGCAUGCAGACACAGACACACACACACAAUGUGUUGAAGGUCAGAGCAGUGAACAAGUAAUGAGGUUCGAGAGUUCAAAUUAGGUCUAAACCAUUGCAAAUGUUAUGGGAUAAAAUAGCCGGUGAUUAUGUUACUGGCUCACUAACUACAAAUGAUGAACAAAUGAUCUCAGCAAAGUAUUAGGUCAUCUGGUAAAGGCAAAGAAAACAUCAUUAUUGUGCACGCGUAACCGCAAGCCCAACUAUUUGUGCCUGGAUCCAACCCGCAUCUCCAAUCUCUGCACCAUAAUGAAACGUGAUCUAAUACCGUAAGCAUACUCUCAUUUCCAUAGUCAAUAUCCAAUGCUAAAUUAUCUGCUGGGUCCAAGGAACGUUUUAGCUGCCCAUUACAAAACACUAAUUCAUUCAUUACUGAUUUUCCCAGAACUUACAGCCCUGUCAGUGGGAUUACAGGUGCAUGUGCUGGCAGAGCGCCCUAGACUGCCCGGCUUUGGAAAUAAAACAAGCUCUCCCUGGCCACACGUUGACUUUUAUUACAGACUCCCUCCUGCUCCCAGUGUGAGCCAGGCCUGUUUGUUUUUCCUCCCCAUCUGUAAUUAAGUCAGAGCCACAUACUCUCUCACUAAGAAAGAGAUAAGUUGAAGACUAGACGCUUUAGUGCAGCCGGAUUGAGGAACUCACUAAUACCACUCAAGGGGUUCGAUUCAAGUGGACCGGCCUUUCCAAGGUCUUAACUCUAAACAAAACAGUCUAUUAUGGAACGGUUCUAAAAAUGUCAAUUGACUAAAUGGAAACCGAAGUACGCAAUGGCAGGAUGAGAGUCUCACUGAUGUAAUGCAAACUUUUCAUUUUUCCACACUUAAGCUGUAUUUGAGCUGUUCCCAGAGGAGCCAUUUCCACGUUAGCCAUUUCAGCGCUGUGGUGUGUGGCCAAAUGCUGACCCGUCUCUGUUCUGACUGCUGACCCCCCAGGCAUGUUUGUUUCCAGAGAUCCUUUUGCCUGAGCCAUUCAUCUGCAGUUCAGUGUACAUUUUUAUUCCACACUCAACUGGCUAUUCACUGUCGAUAACAAAUGGUAACCUGUAAUGGAAGGAAUCCAGUAUACACUGGAUUGAAAGUAUGAUUUUCAGUAUUAACAGGAAACACAAGAUCAUAAACCACUGACCUCAGUGAAGAUAUGUAAUUGCUCGCUGGGUGAAGAGAUAUCAGACAUGUUGGAGUAGGGAAAUGUACUGAGAAGCAGUGAGUAACAGCUGUCAUUCCUAACUGAAGUGUUUAUAGUGUGGUAGCUAACAGGCUAUGGGGGAGCGCAACAUGACCACUUCAUAGGCAGAGGUGAGGAUUUAACCAAGCAUAUGCCUGAAUACCUCAAAAGGUCUCCAAGCUGGCCAUUGGAGUCAUGUUUCAGCCAAAAUGAAGAGUAACAGCAUGAACAUGCCCUAAUCAUCUCAUCCAUAGUGCUGAUCUUACUGGAGUUUACCAAUGUGGAAAAUGAAUAAUCACUCAUAUAGCAGUUUGCAAUUUAUAAUACUCUGAUGUUAUAAGGUUUUAUUUAACAAUUCUGUGAUUUUAAGAUAUUGAGCCUCAAUAAAGUCAAAGCAGAUAUAACUAUUCGACUAGAAAUGAACUCAGUGUAGACGAUAUCUUUUACAUAUAUUGAUUUUAUUAUUAGUGAAUCCUGCAGAAAUAUCUUAAAUGUAAACUGACUUAAACUGUUUAGGUCUGCAAUAUUUUCAAUGAUGGCCAGCAUCAGCCAUCGCAAACAAACACAAAUUAUUCACAACAUCUCUUCUAAUUAUUAUUAUUUUUAUUAUUUCACGCUAUGUGCAUUUACUCAUAAAAACAUCAUUCUGGCAGCCAUCUUACAAUUAGGUUCAGAAGACUUUGAUAUUCUUCACAUAUGGCUCCAUUAGCGGGUGUAAACACCCUCAUAAAGCAUGAGAUCAGACACUGGUGUUCACAACAACCUCUUUAGCUGAAACAGCUUUUCCAGCGAUGUAGCAGGUACAGCAGAGGAGGUGGAGGGAGAGGGGAUGAGGAAGAGGUAGAGAGAGGGAUGUGGUGUUGUCUGUCUCCAUGGAGUGGAGCUAUAAUUCCUCUGGCAUGAGCCCUCAGAACCUCUGCACACAGGAGACACUAUGUAAACACGCAAUGUAAACAGACACAUGGCAAACAUAUGCACUUAUAUCCUAACAAGUACCUAAGAAACUCAAUGUAGAUGACAAACCUGUAUUUCUUUGAAAUGUAUUGUUAUGAGCUCCAGGCAAAUGUCAUCACAUGUAUUCUCAUAUAAAUGAUCAUUCUUAUGUAUUCCUUUCAUUACAGGGACAUUUGGUUCUCAGAAUGGUCUAAACAUGCACACCAGUGACAUAAUUAUUAAUGCAGUUAAUUAAUGCUAUGUCUACACCUAUAAAGAGCUCUAAACUUAAUCCCAGUAACCAGAAGGAAACUGUUCCACAAGAAAAACCUUUAGAAAAAAACAGCUUUCCUCAUGGGAACCAAUCAAAUGUCCGUACAAGAUGAAUACUGUCAGAUUUUCCUAUCUUUGUGGGGACAUAUAUGGACACAGUUUUGAGAAUGUUUCCCUCACCUUGUUUGCUGCUUUUCUUCUUGCUGUGACAAAGAAAAAAAAAAAUCACAUUUUCAUACUGCACUGUCAUUAGGUACUACAAUUAUAUUAGCAUAAAAACUUCUCAUUUACUAUCUUAUUCUAAUCGAACAGUAUAAUCUGUUUUUCCCCUAUUAAUACAAUAUUUUGAAUCACCAAUGAUUGACAAAUUUCAGAAAUGGCCUAUGAUAGGGGUUCUCAAUAAAUAUUUUACCAGUCACAGACCCAUUUAACUAUAAAAUAAAUAAAUAAAUAAGUAUAUAUAAUAAGAAGUUGUUCAUGGAUCCCCAUUAAUAUGGAUUUAUUUCACAAACUAUUAAAAACAUUAAGCACAGGGGUGGAGACGAACUUAAGCACCUUAAGAAGUGAAUCCAAAGUGACUAUUGGAUUCACAUGCUCAAGGUCCUAUCCAGUUCUCAAUGAUGACACUAACUUUUCUCCUUUCUUGUAGGCUCUUUCAGGGGUUCCAUUUGGGUUUAUAUGCAUUAGUUAAUGCAUUAUUAUUAGUUAUUUACUGUAUAUAUUUUAUGUAUGUAUAUGCAGCGCAUUCAGCUUGUACAUGUACAUAAUGUUUAUUGUAUAUACAUAUAUAUGUAUAUAUAUAUAUAUAUAUAUAUAUAUAUAUAUAUAUAUAUAUAUAUAUAUAUAAAUUCCAUGUAGCCUCUUUAUUUUUACUUCUUUUUUUUCAAUCUAGCCUUAACUUAUAUUGUCUGUCUGUAUAAUUGUUACAUAAAUAAUCAAAAGACCUAGAAAUAUUGGAUCUAUUCACUUCUUGCAUGUUCUUGUAUGAGUUGGGUUUCCUACCAUUUUUAAGAUGCAAAUUUUUUGGAGAGCCCCUAGUGGCCACUAGAUUACUUGUCAUGACUUUGACAGAGGUGAUUUCAUGCUUUUACCAUUGUUUGACACCCAUAAGAAGGCUAGCUGAAGCCGAUACGCCUUGGUGUAUCGGGUGACUGCUUUCAGCCCUCAAAAUAAAGGCUUUUUUUUUUUUUUUUUACUGCAAAUAGUCCACAUGAGCACCUGGUUUUGGAAUCUUUGCUUUGACAAAAGUGGCAUGGGCAAAUUUUCCUUGCCAGUGCACCUGUGGCUUUUAUUUACUAGAUGUGCUCUUUGCACUACAUUAUUUGACAUUAAGCAAAUUAUUUCAGUUUGUACAAAUAAUAUUUAUUGGCACUAGAUAGUUCCCAGUUAUUAAAAUUAUCAUUAGAUUCCAUUUGGCAUUCUAUACAGCCAUAAUGUUUUUGAUAAAGAUGGGUUCAAAAUUAGAAAAUCAUGUACUGCCAACUUGAAAACCACAUUUAUAUAUUAUUAUAAGAAACAAUAACAACAAAAAUAAUGAUUAACUUACAACCCCAAUUCUGAAAAAGUUGAGACAGUAUGGAAAAAAGCAAAAAUCCCAAAAAAAGAGUCAUUUGAAAAUACAAUUCACCUUGUACUAUAUUUAAAACACAUUAUUAGCACAUUAUUUGAUGUUUUACUCUGUGAAUUUAAUUUAUUUUGGAAAAUAUACACUCAUUUCAAAUCUGAUGAUUGAAAAGCACUCCAAAAAAGUUGGGACAGUCAACUGUUUACCACUGUGUAACAUCACCUUUUCUUUUAACAAUUAAGUGUUUGGGACUGAAGACACCAGUUGGUUAAGUUUAGUAAGCGGAAUUUUCCCCCAUUCAUCCAUUAUGCCUUAAUUCAGCUGUGUAACUGUACAGGUUUCAUUACCUUAUUUUGCACUUCAUAAUGCGCCACACAUUGUAAAUCAGAGACAGGUCAGGACUGCAGGGAGGUCAUGCUAGCACCUGCACUCUCUUCUUACACAACCCUGUGCUUGUAAUUCGAGCAGAAUGUCGUUUGGCGUUGUCCUGCACAGGAUGGCAGCAUAUGUUGCUCCAUCCAAUGCUCCAUCUGCAUUAAUGGUGCCCUCACAGAUGUGCAAGUUACCCUUGCCAUGGGCACUGACACACCCCAUACCAUGACAGAUGCUGGCUUUUGGACCUGAUGCUGAUAACAGCUUGGAUGGUCCUUUUCCUCUUUGGACCGGAGAACAGGAUGGCUGUUUUGUCCAAAAUCUAUUUGAAAUGUUGACUCGUUGGACCACAAAACACAAUUCCACUGUGCUACUGUCCAUCUCAGAUGAUACCAAGCCCAGAGAAGUGGGCGGCACUUCUGGACAGUGUUGAUGUAUGGCUUCUGCUUUGCACAGUAAAGCCUUAACUUGCAUCUGUGGAUGCAGCACUGAAUGGUGUUGACUGACAAAGGUUUACCAAAGUAUUCCCGAGCCCAUGUCAGGAAAUCCAUUACAGACUCAUGACGGUUUUUAAGACAGUGACGUUUGAGGGAUCGGAGAUCACGCACAUUCAGAAGUGGUUUUCAGCCUUGCCCUUUAUGCACAGAGAUUUGACAGGAUUCCUUGAAUCUUUUAAUUAUAUUGUGCACUGCAGAAGGUGAAAUGCCUAAAAUCUUACCGAUUUGUCUUUGGGGAAUGUUGUUCUCAAAGUGUUGGAUUAUUUGCUGAUGCAUCUGCUGUCAGGUUGGCGAGCCUCGACCCAUCCUUCCUCUUGAAGGACUAGGCCUUUUUUGGAGGCUCCUUAUAUUCUAUGAUUAGACGAUUGCCUCACCUGUUUCACAUCACCUUCUUAUUUCAACUUUUCACAUGGCUAUUAGUCCUAAAUUGCCCAGUCCCACCUUUUUUGGAACGUGUUGCACGCAUCAAUUUCAAAAUAAACGUUUACUUUUUUAAAAAAAACUAUGCAGUUGAUUGGGUAAAACAUCAAAUACCUUGUCUCCUACGUUUUUUGUUUAAAUACAAGUCAAAGUACAUUUACAAAUCACUUCUCUUUAUUUUUAUUACCAUUUUUCAUACUGUCCCAACUUUUUCAGAAUUGGGGUUGUAACAUGAUUUGACAAAAACUCUUACCAUCAAUAAACUGAGGCACCAUCCAUUUCAGAAUUCCCAGCAUGACAAUUAUGAAUCCAAACACCAAGAUGUACCACAGUGUGGAGUCUUGCUCUAAAAAGUGAGAAAAAAGAGAAAUUCAGAAAGAUAUAAAUACUUCUAGCCUAACGUCACGUUUAAAGAUCUUACACCUUGUCUGCCAUCUAGUGGUAGAUGUAUGGUAUUUUAGGGGGUUUCCAAGAUGGGAAAUUCCAGUUUGUUUUCACAAUACAUAAUAAACACAGUUUAAUUUUCUGGUGAGUGUAACCGAGUCUGUUGUGUUCUACCUGUGACGAUGAGCGUGAAGCUCUUGCGGAUUGGUGUGCGCAGAGACUGGUGUUGCACCCGGCAUGUGUACUUGUAUCCUGAAUCUUCAAGGCCAGGCUGGAGCAAGAAAAAGGCUGAGAGCGAGUAUGUGCCAUCCUGAUGGUGGCGGUGGCUGGAGUAAAGAGUGUUCCUCAGAACCUGAGGCAGGAGGCCUGAACCCACCGGCUCACGCAGCCACUCGAUAGUCACGUCGAGAGGAUAGUAGCCCUGAGUGUCACACACCACCUUCUGCUCCUGACCCAGCGUUAAAGACAAGGUUGAGCCCACGUUCACUGUUACACGCGGUGGUUCUGUUGGGACAUAACAGACAGUAGUAAACAUGAUUAAACUCUUGAUUUAGCUAUAGGGACACGUGUAAUGGCAGAAAUGGGAGUACAAUUGCAAUAAUGAGCAAGAUUAUAAUGUUGAUUAAUGACAAAGUUUUACGUAAAAAUUUGGAUAUAAGAAUUAAGAAUCAAUAAGAAUUUGUAGUUUGUUUCCAUUUAAUAUGCCAUUAGCAAUUGUAGUUGCUCAUUAUGCUCAGCUUUCAUACAAAGCAGUUUAUAUAAUGAUUAAGUUUACAUUUGUGUAGCAGCCUACAAACCCUUCACAUGGUGACAUUUUCUACUAUGUAUAGUUCUGACUAUAGACUGUUUAUACCACACUGAAUGUUUAUAACUAUUAAAUUGGCUCCUUAUAAAACAUGCUCUUUAUAAGCAGAUAACAAGUCAAGGUUAUAAAGUAAAUAAAAUCAUUUCCAUGUCGUUUUGGUAAAAUAGAUUUUUGGUUUCUUAAAGUUGUGGUAACAAAGUACACUAUAUGGCCAAAAGUAUUUGGACCCUUGACCAUCACAGCCACAUGUGCCCAUUCCAAAAUCUUGGGCAUUAACACGGACCUGGCCCCUACUUUUUUUUGUUAUAACAGCCUCCACUCUUCUGGGAAGGCUUUCCACUGGAUUUUGGUGCAUGUCUGGGGGGGAUUUGUGUUCACUCGGCCAUAAGAGCAUUAGUGAGGUCAGGCACUGUUGUCAAGAGAGAGUUCUUGGGGCUUAGUCAAGAGUUCCAAUUUAUCCCAAAGAUGUUCAGUGGGGCUUGGGACACCCGUGUUCAACCUUGGUAAACCAAGUCUUCAAUGGACCUCGCUUUGUGCACAGGGGCAUUGUCAUGAUGAAACAGGUUUGGGCCCCUUAUUUCCAGCGAAAGGGAAAUCUUAACGUUACAGUAUACAAAGACAUUCUAGACAAUUGUAUGCUUCCAACUUUGUGGCAACAGAUUCAGGAAGGCUUACAUAAGGGUGUGAUUGUUAGGUGUCCACAUACUUUUGGCCACAUGGUGUAUGUUAAACUCUGUGUUGCAAUUUUAGCUAAAACCCAAGAUUUGCACAAAAUGAAAGCAUAUACUGGAGCAGUUGAAAGUUAAGUACCUUAUCCUACAGCACAACAGUGUCUUUCUGGAUCAUAAGCUUUUGGUACAGUACAGAACCAUAACUGCUUAUCUACAACUGCUCUACCACAUUUAUAACCACUACUUUAAGUUUCUAUUACUUUGAAAAGACAUGCUUGAUUGUCCCACCUUGAAUGUUGAGGACAAUGUCACUGUUAUGGUGGAGUGGUGGGAUGAAAACAGAGCAUGUGUAUGUGCCCUCGCUAGUUUGCUUAGUGGGUAGUAGUUUCAGAGAGGCAUCUCCUGCUGCAAUGGUUUUCACAGACACUCCGCUGCCUUCACUCUUGCCUGUGCGGCUCGAGUAGCUGAAGAGUUUAGUGCGAUCUCCACGCCGCUGGUGCACCCACUCCACCGUCACACUUGCCUGCUUGUGGUCCACAGCAAACUGACAAUGCAGGAUCGGCUCCUUCAUGAGGCCCACGUGAAUGACAGGUGUGCGUGUCAGGACAGCCAUUGUAGCUAUUGAAACAGGGAAGAAGGCCAUGCUAUCAGGAUGCAGCAGAGGUAGAUAAUACCAUGAGAAAGCUCUGCUAGCACAGAAACCCAUGUUUUAGAUUGAUAGUGUUCAUGAUUACCUGUGGUGGUCAGGAGCUCUCUGUCUCCUAUUUCAAUCCUCUCCUGAAAGCCUUCCUGCGCAGGUGUGUGUCUGAGGAAGGUGGUGAGGUGAAACAAUCCCUGACUAUUGUGGAGAAUACAGGUGAACCAGACAUCAUGUUCUUGUGCACCCAAACCAGGCCAGCGCAUCACAAUCCCUUUAGUGUUAUAUCUCUGGAUCUCACAUUCCAGCGAGUCCUUGUCACCUUCCAAAUAACGCCUCAUAUCCACCUUUGAUGCUACAUAAAACAUAUAUAUAAAUACACUUUUAGAAACGUUUUUAAUAUAUCACACAGGAUAUUCCAUCUUUGACCCAUUGAAAUGGAUCUAAAAGUUUUCUGCUAAUCAUAUACUCACUCGUGACAAGGAAGGUGAUAGCAUCGGGGUUUAUAGGACUGUCCCCUGAAUUCCCAAACUGCAGUCCUGCAUUUCGAUGGUGAAACUUGACCUCCUUAAUCCCCUCAUCAUUUAUUUGUACCGUCUCAUCUUGAAAUUGGCACGGCAGCCACUGGACAUCGUAAGCCGAUUGCGUUCCACAUACACCUG